GGGCGCAUAGCUCAGCUGGUUAGAGCACUUCGUUCACAUCGAAGGGGUCAGAGGUUCGAGUCCUCUUGCGCCCA
rnacentral:tRNA from 2 species